rnacentral:misc_RNA from 1 species
AAAAAUAUUUCAAAGGGAGAUGGUAUGUAAGCCAUCAAAUUUGAUAGAGAAUCCCAAACCUGUAGAACAUUAAAUUGAGCAUCGAAACUGAAAUAACCAAUACUAACAAUACAAGCAGAAAAUUAUUGAAACAUCGUGUAUAAAUUUUACAAACUUGUGUGUACAGAGUCCAGCAUGUUAAACCAAAAAAAAGACAGUAGCUUCCUUGACAGGCUUAUCGCCAUGCAGUACGUACCAAAGUUAAAAGAAAUCAGGCUCCAUGAACUAGAUUAAAUUUGAAAAGAAAAUUGGGAAGAAAAAGAAGAGGGCGGGUAAGGGAACAGCACUCAAAUGUUUUUGAGAGACUAGAAGAGGAAUGAAGGCAGAAACUUGCCAAACUCUUCAGUGGCCAAAGCUACCAUUUCAAGCAAUGCGUGCUACUUCGGAUAAUGGACAUUGUAUUACCAUCAAUUUCCAUGGAGAAUGUUAAAAUUUGAUGGUCCAACAGUGUCGAAAAAACCUCGUAUUGAUACCUCUGGUACAGAGAUAUUUUUACUCAGCAAUUCAUGGUCUAUAAAGAUGACAAUCACUGUUAUAUCAUCAUGGAAAAACCGCCUGCUUCCCUUAUCAAUUUUCUUAAGAUCAUCAUAUCUCAUCUCCCUCUUCUUAGCUGCCUCUUUUAAAGCCGUUUUAACAAGUCUUCUUGCAAUUCCAGUGCGUGGAUAAUUAUACACAAUUUCCACAGCUUCUUGGUUUGUCAUGUGUUCCCAAAGCCCAUCAGACGCAAAUAUGAGAAAUUGAUCAUGAGGUUGUAGUUCGUGCACAGAAAUUGAUGGUUCAGAGCUUAAAAUUGGCCUGUUAAAAGGUUCACGAAGGCGGAACUUCGCAUACAAGGGCUCUCUGUUAAAUUCAGCCUUCUUUAGAUAUACAUCACCAAUGGAUCUAGAAACCUGUGAUGUAAAACUUUCUGUACAUAUUAAAACUUGCUAUACAUGUGUAUGCUCAUGCAUGUGUCUCUACGCAAACAUAUACUGCACAAAAAACAUUGUGAUGACUAAAGCCAAUAUCAUAUAUCAACUCCUAAUUUAUCAAAAAAGAGUGAGUUAAAAACAUUUCUGUGGUGCACACAUAUACUGCACAAUAUGAACUUCCACAUUCAACAAUAAAGUGAUACCCAUCCUUAUCCAAAGGAAGAAAUUAAACUACCAGUUUAUCAAUUUUUCUAUCUUCACCUUAACUAUUAUUGUGCAACCUUCAAGCCAACAUUAUAAAUUAACUCAUAGUUAUAUCAAAAUAGCAAAAAUGUGUAAUAAAUUUGAAUACAUUUGCUUUCAACAUUGAUGAUACCACUAUUAGUGGUUCUUCAUUAUUUUCAACACUAUGAUAUAUCUUAUUUUAUAAAGGUCCAAAGAAUCAUAAGAUCCAAUAUACUGGAAAUCUUGGACUUGGAAACCAUUGGAGGACUUAUUGCAACAAGUAUUCCCAUGCUGUUGAUUCAUAUUUGCUAUAGGCCUAUCAGCAAUUGUAGACUGUUCUUUAAAUAAAGCAUCCUGGCAUGAUAACAGCACUAAACAUUAAAAUUGCAUUAAACUAGUCUUCCAUAAUUUCUGCAUUUGUUCUUUCAGUAUCCACUACACAUUUAAAUGUGCCAAAUCUUCACCAUACUUUGUACAGAUUCCAAUACCUCAUUGCAGUCCACAAAAGUUAAUUGACUUCAUCCAGCAAAUGACAACCCCAAAUAUGAUCUAAGACUAGUUCUUGAUAUUCGAUCAUGCCAAUGGAUGAUGUUGACAUCCUUUUGUUUUCUAAAAAGCCCAACCACACUCCUCAAUGAAAGUAUCUUACCAGAAAAAAAAAACUAAGAUUAAAGGUUACCACUAUCAUAGCGUGUAUCUUCUCUUUCAAAUUACCUAAAGUGCUCAUUACUUGUUCAUAUCCAUGUUGAUUACUCUCAUAUGAUCCCUUUGUUAGAGAUCUUAACUUUUGCACAAAGCAACUGAAGUCUCCCUCCAGUUGCUCAGAACCUAAAAGUUCAAAGGAAUAUAGUUUAAAUUCCUUUCGCCUUUCCUGAGGUUUAACGGUAACUGGUGAGUAUAUAAUUCCAUCCCACCCAAAGCUCUACCAGGAAAACUCUAACCAAAUUUAUGUUGAAGCCAUAUAACUUCCCAUGAUAUAAGAGAAUAUGAUUUGCAGCAAAUUUGAGUCAAAACUUCAUACAUAAAAAUCUUUCAGAAGUCAGAACUAUUCAGUGUCCAGUGAAUUCAAACAAUAAAAAAAAUUCAAUCACUCAAAAAUACCAGCCCUUGCUUUGUCCAUUAUAUCAUAAACUGUGAUUAGGCACUAUGAACAAUGAACACAAGAACAGCAAAUCCUUAAACCCAUGUUCCCUUUGAGAAAAACGGACACCAAGAAAGGCACAUGAUGCUUUAAAGAAAAUAUUCAAUCCACUUAUAAUACUUGAAAAUUUCUUUCACAGCAUUCAAAUAAAUAAGUUUUCCAUUUGAUACUGAAAAUGGCACAAGAUAUCAAGAGAAGACGAAUUAUAAAGGGCCAGUUAUAUGGAACAUCUACCACAAUUGUCCAAGCAAAGAUUUUACCUGUAUCAGGCCCUUCACUCGCCAUACAUUAUGUUUCAAAACCACAAUCUGCGAAUCAUCUGGAUGCAUAGAAUGCAUCUCCUCUCUGACAGACUCUAUAGCCACAUUAUGCUCUGAUGACAGCUGGAUGGCAAGAACUUCCCCAGUUGCUUUGACAAGCCUACCAAGGACAGCCCGUGAAUCACCAAGGUUAGCAAUGUAGAGGGUACCCCCACAAAUGAUACCCACCAGACAACAAGAUCCAACUGCUGCAAUCUGAGGCUUCAUGGGCCACUGUUUAGUGACAAGAGAAAGAAACCCCUCUUCAGUUGCUUGAUAUGCUUUCUUAAUCACAUCUACAGACAUAGAUUGAUGUUCUGAGGUGAACCUUUUUAGGUGCUGAAACAGAUGAUCAUUAAUGUAACGCGAUGUCUCUGGCCCUCCAUGACCAUCAUAUACACCAACAAAGGUGCCAUAAGGGCCAGACUCAAAAGUGCUCAAGGGACCAGACUCAAGCUGGCUCUGAUCCUCGAGCAAAUUAUUGGCCUGAAGAACAGCCAUAGAGAAUUCACCAUGCAAGUGCUGCCCAGUGUCUUUAUACCAAAGCAGCCCAUCUUGCCGGCCUGCUGCAUCCGAAUUCGCGUGGACAUAACGUUCUGAGGACGGCCGCCAGCAGGCCCUCAAAAAGUUCAUCAACCUUGAUAACAUCCCUCAUCUCACCGGGGCCAGCCACCGAUUCCUCCACAUCCAAAAUUGGAUGCAAUACUACUCCGUCCAAUAAACCCCACCAGUCUCCCCUCCUACACACCAAAGAAUUCAAAGAUGCUGUAAAAAGAACAUAACUUUGAAGGGGGGAAAAAAAAACAAGAAAUAACGAAUUCUCAAAUUGAAGAAUUAAGCUUCGAUCCUAAAGUUCAGUAAACAAUCUCAUAAAUUAAGAAAAAUGGAUGCCUGAAAAUCUAAAAUAAGAAGGUCAAAUCUAAGUCCACAUUCCACACCUCAAAGUCAUAAACCGUACAAAUAUUCAUUCCAACAUGAUUUUUCGAAGUUGUUUGGAGCCCAAAAAAGAAAAGGAUUUGGAACUCAAUCGCCAAUCACAUAACAAGUCAGAAAAAUAUGAAGAGAAACUCACAAUACAAAGUAAGCUUAUCUGCGCGGUUUCUGGUGAGCUACUAAAUUACAGCAGAUGAAAAGGAUGGAGAUCCAAAAGAAACAGAGAGGUACAUGUGGGUAUAAAAGGGUUAGAUCUAUAGAUCCAUCAAAUCAAAAGUUUAAAUAUAUUUCAGGGGGGGGGGGAUGGUACGUGUUAUGUUCAUUUGGCUUCUUGAAUUUUCGCUCGCUUUAAACUCUCCUUAACUUGUGGUUUUUGCUUUUUUCCCUUGGUGGGUAUUUGGGCGAUACGGGAUAACUGAGAGAAGAAAGAAAGAGAAUUGUAUGAAUCAGUGCAAUCGAAGGAACCGCAAAAUAAAAUAAAAUAAAAACUGAGUUCUCUCUGAGCAGACAAAAAGUCC